rnacentral:piRNA from 1 species
UNCAAAUUGUCAGGCAAUGGCUUGUCCUG